CCUACGGGAGUCAGCAGUGAGGAAUAUUUGUCAAUGGACGAGAGUCUGAACCAGCCAAGUAGCGUGAAGGAUGACUGCCCUAUGGGUUGUAAACUUCUUUUAUAUGGGAAUAAAAUGUUCCACGUGUGGGAUUUUGUAUGUACCAUAUGAAUAAGGAUCGGCUAACUCCGUGCCAGCAGCCGCGGUAAUACGGAGGAUCCGAGCGUUAUCCGGAUUUAUUGGGUUUAAAGGGAGCGUAGGUGGAUUGUUAAGUCAGUUGUGAAAGUUUGCGGCUCAACCGUAAAAUUGCAGUUGAAACUGGCAGUCUUGAGUACAGUAGAGGUGGGCGGAAUUCGUGGUGUAGCGGUGAAAUGCUUAGAUAUCACGAAGAACUCCGAUUGCGAAGGCAGUUCACUGGACUGCAACUGACACUGAGGCUCGAAAGUGUGGGUAUCAAACAGGAUUAGAUACCCUAGUAGUC
rnacentral:rRNA from 1 species